CAGUCGCCGCGGUAAUACGAAGGGGGCUAGCGUUGUUCGGAAUUACUGGGCGUAAAGCGCACGUAGGCGGAUACUUAAGUUAGGGGUGAAAUCCCAGGGCUCAACCCUGGAACUGCCUUUAAUACUGGGUAUCUUGAGUUCGAGAGAGGUAAGUGGAAUUCCGAGUGUAGAGGUGAAAUUCGUAGAUAUUCGGAGGAACACCAGUGGCGAAGGCGGCUUACUGGCUCGAUACUGACGCUGAGGUGCGAAAGCGUGGGGAGCAAACAGGAUUAGAUACCCCGGUAGUCCCUGUCUCUUAUAC
rnacentral:rRNA from 1 species